UUAAAGGAGCGAGCUAGAAAGUGUGCAGACGAUUGGUUAGUUGCAACAUCUACACAAGAGGCAUUACGUGAGACCAUAGCUAACAUUUGUUAUUAUCCUUUGAGCUAACCUCGUGUCCAUGAUGUAUUCUGAAGAGAACCAUGAGAUUCUGUAGGGAAGGCUUGUGGUACCGUGACAAGACAAUUAUACACCACAGAUCUGGAGAGCGUGACCUCUGAGCUAAUCGCAUGUUACCCUUGAGCUAACCACGGGUCCUUGAUGUAUCCAUAAGAGAACCAUGAGAUUCCGUAGGGAUGCCUUGUGGAGCCGUGAGAAGACAAGUCUACACCACAGAUGUGGAGAGCGUACCUCUGAACUAAUCGCGUGUUACUCUUGAGCCAACCACAGGUCCUUGCUGUAUCCUUAAGAAUACCAUGAGAUGACGUAGGGAGGCCUUGGGAAGACUUGAGUAGAAAGUAAUAUUUGCAACAUGUCUGGUUAACGGCAGUGCCUCUACAAAAACGAUGCUGUAAUUCAAACGAAAGCAUACUCGACUCCAAAAUCCUGAUCAAAUACAUCUAUUGCGAAUAUAACUAAUUUCUGUUCCUUUUCUGCUAACCGUGGUCAUGCGUUUGAAUCGUGUUUCCGACGGGAAUAAGGAGAUCACGCCGAAUUUUAAUUUAAUACCAACUGGUAAAUGUACUCUUAAAUAAAAUGCAAGAUCGCAGUGGUGCGUUAUACAAGAAUCAAUUGCAAAUGAAAUCUCUGGGUGUAGAAAACAAAUCGUAAACUAUUUGCGUGGAUUGAGAUCGGACCUUACUAUUUCAAUGAAUAGUUAAAUAGUUAUUAAUGUAGAAAUAAUUUUCUAUAGUUCCAGGUUUUGAAAUGACUACUGAUAUAUUAACCGGAGCAGAUUUAUUACGUAAUAAGAAUACAUGUGGAAAAUUUAGUAUCCUUGCCGAUGUUUUGCACAUACGAACAAGUCAAUUAUGCUUUGACAGUUUAGAUUACAAUUCAACAAUCAGUCCGUUUAAAUCGAAGUAAUGCACCAACACAUUCAAAACAGGAUGGUCGAAGCGGAGAGAAGAUACAAAGCUAGGUUUUUGAGAGGUCGAGCUACGAUUAAAAGAUUCCAGAAGGGAGAUAUUGUAAUAAUAAAAAUAUAACCCCAGAAAUCGGAUAUCCCUAUAUUUAAAAUUUUGUGAACUAUACAAAAUCCAGAAAAUAAUUGAGAAUGAUUAAUAUCUUGUAAAGUGAUUUUAGACAAUGGAUGACUUCGAAAUGUGGCACAUGACCAGCUACGAAUGUGGCACAUGACCAGCUACGAUGAGACUUCACAGCAUCUGAGGGACGACACAGAAUUACUAAGCAAGCAGUUAGGUGGACGGUUCGCCUACCUAAUAGUUAUCCGGUGAGCGUAUUUCAUUUUGUUCAAAUUGCUUCAUUCAAACGCAUUACCAUUAAUCAUUGCUAGCAAUGUGAUUGUCUAACACUUAGUUUGAGAUAUAUUACUAUAAAAGAUGCAUUUGGCGUGCGGAUCCGAACCAUAACAAAAAAAAAAAAAAAUAAUAAUAAAUAAAAAAAAAUAAAAUAAUAAUUAAUAAAAAAUAAUAUUGUAGACGGGUGGAGACGUCUUACGCCAAACAAAUAAAGAAAGAAAAAAAAAAAAAAU